rnacentral:pre_miRNA from 1 species
UAUUAAAAUUUUCAUCAAUUUGUACUGUUUUAAACUGACAUGAUUGAAGAAAAAAAACCGACAGUAACAUGUGGCAUAUCAAGUGCAUCUCAUUCUAAUAUACAAUGAUAAGUUUCAAAUAGUAAAAAUGGAUAAAAUUUUAACA